AAAUUAUAAAAAAAACCUUUUUUUUUGAGAGAGAGAGAGGUAGCAUGCUACCUGUUUCGUUUAUUUUAUUUAAAAAUAAAUUUAGCUAGGAAUGUGAAUCAAUUAGGAUUCGAACUUGGGAUCUCGAGUAUAAGCUACCAAACGUUUUGCCAUUUGCGCUAGGGACGAUCAAUUAUAAAAAAAAAUAGAAAAGAAACCUCAAUCUCAAUCUUUUGUUAGGCUUUAGAUAAUAAGUAGAAAAGCCGGUCAUAUUAGGCUUGGGUCUGUUGGCUUAAAUGAGUCAGCAUCCUGCAAUGUGACGAGAGGUCAUGUUGGGCUAAGUCACGUUCGAAAUGGCGUGAGACUGAGUUGGGCCGAGUCAUGUUCGAAAUGAUGUGAGGCUGGUUGGACCAAGCCACAACUGAGAUCUGUGGGUGUUGUAUCUGUACGUUUUAAGUAAAUUAGUUGCGUAUUUCUAACAGCUCUAGCGCCAACAAUAUGACC
rnacentral:lncRNA from 1 species